GUGUGCUAAUACCGCAUAAUCUCUCAGGAGAAAAGCAGGGGAUCGCAAGACCUUGCGCUUUAGGAGCGGCCGAUGCCUGAUUAGCUUGUUGGUAAGGUAAAAGCUUACCAAGGCUUCGAUCAGUAGCUGGUCUGAGAGGACGACCAGCCACACUGGGACUGAGACACGGCCCAGACUCCUACGGGAGGCAGCAGUGGGGAAUUUUGGACAAUGGGGGAAACCCUGAUCCAGCCAUGCCGCGUGAGUGAAGAAGGCCUUCGGGUUGUAAAGCUCUUUCAGCCGGAACGAAACGGUUACGAUUAAUACUCGUAAUUAAUGACGGUACCGGCAGAAGAAGCACCGGCUAACUACGUGCCAGCAGCCGCGGUAAUACGUAGGGUGCGAGCGUUAAUCGGAAUUACUGGGCGUAAAGGGUCCGCAGGUUGUUUUGUAAGUCAGAUGUGAAAGCCCCGGGCUUAACCUGGGAACUGCGUCUGAAGCUACAAGGCUAGAGUAUGGCCGAGGGGGGUGGAAUUCCGCGUGUAGCAGUGAAAUGCGUAGAUAUGUGGAGGAACACCGAUGGCGAAGGCAGCCCCCUGGGUCAAUACUGACGCUGAGGGACGAAAGCAUGGGGAGCAAACAGGAUUAGAUACCCUGGUAGUCCAUGCCCUAAACGAUGUCAACUAGUUGUCGGGCCUUUACGGGCUUGGUAACGUAGCUAACGCGUGAAGUUGACCGCCUGGGGAGUACGAUCGCAAGAUUAAAACUCAAAUGAAUUGACGGGGACCCGCACAAGCGGUGGAUUAUGUGGAUUAAUUCGAUGCAACGCGAAAAACCUUACCUACCCUUGACAUGUAUCGAAGCCCGCAGGAAAGCGGGGGUGCCCGAAAGGGAACGAUAACACAGGUGCUGCAUGGCUGUCGUCAGCUCGUGUCGUGAGAUGUUGGGUUAAGUCCCGCAACGAGCGCAACCCUUGUCAUUAAUUGCCAUCAUUUAGUUGGGCACUUUAAUGAGACUGCCGGUGACAAACCGGAGGAAGGUGGGGAUGACGUCAAGUCCUCAUGGCCCUUAUGGGUAGGGCUUCACACGUAAUACAAUGGGAAGGACAAAGAGCCGCGAAGCCGCGAGGUGUAGCUAAUCUCACAAAUCUUUU
rnacentral:rRNA from 1 species